ensembl:lncRNA
CAUUCUGAUUGAAGUUAUUGGCAAAUGUGUUAAGAAAGCGAUGUGUCAUGGAAGGCUCAGAGCCUUAGGUGGGCUUUGACAGCAGGUUCAGGAGGAAUUAUUGUCAUUUUCAGAACUUGUGAAUGAAUUUACUUGAAUUUACUUAAAUGUGAAUUGUGUGCUCACUUCAGCAUCACAUAUACAGAAUAUAAGCGAAUAUUGCAGCAAGACGUAAAGAAAGUUUCCAUGAAUAAAGGAAAAAAUACAAAUAAAAUGUUAUUAUAUCAGAAGUGAGUUCUCUACACAGGUGACAAUGUUAGAAAAAUUUGAGCUGAAAGCUUAAUCUUUGAGUUAAAAAUAUGGUGUCGAUUUUACUGGAAUGUCAACAGAUUUCUUCUGUGUUUUGUAUUUUUAAAACUUUACCCAGUUUCUAAAUUUAUUGUCAGGUUUGAAUUCAAAGAAAAUGCAGAUUUUCCUUGAGGCAAGCAGUUCAUUUGAGAACUAUGAAAGAGUUCAGUUCAGUUCAAUCGCUCAGUCAUGUCCAACUCUUUGCAACCCCAUGGACUGCAGCACGCCAGGCCUCCCUGUCCAUCAUCAACUUCUGGACCUUACUCAAACUCAUGUCCAUCAAGUCAGUGAUGCCAUCCAACCAUCUCAGCCUCUGUCAUCCCCUUCUCCUCCUGCCUUCAAUAUUUCCCAGCAUCAGGGUCUUUUCAAAUGAGUCAGUUCUUGGCAUCAGGUCACCAGCAUAUUGGAGCUUCAGCAUUAGCAUCAGUCCUUCCAGUGAAUAUUCAGGACUGACUGGUUUGAUCUCCUUACAGUUUAAGGGACUUUCAAUAGUCUUCUCCAACACCACAGUUCAAAAGCAUCAAUUCUCCAGCACUAAGCUUUCUUUAUAGUCCAACUCUCACAUCCUGACUCUCAUACCUGACAACUGGAAAAACCAUAGCUUUCACUAGAUGGACAUUUGUCAGCACAAUAAUGUCUUUGCUUUUAAUAUGUUGUCUAUGUGGUCAUAGCUUUUCUUCCAAGAAGCCAGCCUCUUUUAAUUACAUGGCUGCAUUCACCAUAUGAAGUAAUUUUGGAGCCCAAGAAAAUAAAGUCUGUCACUAUUUCCAUUGUUUCUCCAUCUAUUUACAAUGGAGUGCUGGGAUCUGAUGCUAUAAUCUUUGUUUUUUGAAUGUUGAGCUUUAAGCUAGUUUUUUCACUCUCCUCUUUCACUUUCAUCAAGAGGAUCUUUAGUUCCUCUUCACUUUUGCCCAUAAGGGUGGUGUCAUCUGUUUAUCUGAGGUUAUUGAUAUUUCUCCCAGCAAUCUUGAUUCCAGAUUGUGCUUCAUCCAGCCCAACAUUUCACAUAGUACUCUGCAUAUAAGUUAAGUAAGCUGGAUGACAAUAUACAGCCUUGACGUACUUCUUUCCCAAUUUGGAACCCAUCUGUUGUUUCAUGUCCAUUUCUAACUGUUGCUUCUUGGCCUGCAUACAGAUUUCUCAGGAGGCAGGUAAGGUGGUCUGGUUUUCCCAUCUCUUUAAGAAUUUUCCAGUUUGUUGUGAUUGACACAGUCAAAUACUUAGGCAUAAUCAAUAAAGCAGAAGUAGAUGUUUCUCUGGAACUCUCUUGUUUUCUCUAUGAUGCAAUGGAUGUUGGCAAUUUGAUCUCCAGUUCCUUUGCCUUUUCUAAAUCCAGCUUGAACAUCUGAAAGUUCAUGGUUCACAAAGUGUUGAAGCCUAGCUUGGAGAAUUUUGAGCAUUACUUUGCUGGCAUGUGAGAUGAGUGCAAUAGAGCAGCAGAUUGAACAUUCUUUGGCAUUGCCCUUCUUCGGGAUGAAAAUUAAAACUGAACUUUUCCAUUCCUGUGGCCACUGCUGACUUUUCCAGACUUGCUGGCAUAUUGAGUGCAGCACUUUAACAACAUCAUCUUUUAGGAUUUGAAAUAGCUCAACUGGAAUCCCAUUACCUCUACUAGCUUUGUGAGAGAGUUAAACAUCAUUAAACAAUUAACUCAGCAAAUAUUUACUGCAUGUAUUAUGUGUUCAUGGCACUGUUCCAGGUUCACUGGGAAACUGAUAAUAAACAAGUAAGUACAUAGAAUGUCAGAUUAUGUAAGUUCCAUCAAGCAAAUUAAAGCAGUGGAUUGGUUGAUAGUGUUGGAGAAGGGUAGAAUUUGCUCCUUUAUAUCAAUAAAUCAGGGAAGAACUUGUGACAGAUCUGAUCAGAGACAAUUCUUAAUGUGGAAGCAAGUCAGAACAAUGUCCUAGGGAGAGGAUUCCAGACAGAGAAAACAGCCAGAGUGAGGUUUCCAAGUUUGGAGCACAUGUGGAAUUUGCCGGGAAUAGCAAGGACACCAGUGUGACUGAGAAUGAGAAUGAGAGAAAGAAGCAGAGGUGGCUGUAACAUCAGGCUCUGUCAGCCAUUGCAGAGUCUGGAUUUUAUUAUAGGCAUUACAUUCAUGAUCUGACUUGUUGUUGUUUAGUCCCUCAGUCAUAUCCAACUUUUUGCGACCCCAUAGACUGUAGCCCACCAGACCCCUUGGUCCAUGGAAUUCUCCAGGCAAGAGUACUGGAGUGGGUUGCCAUUUCCCCCUCCAGGAGAUCUUCCCAAUCCAAUGAUCAGACUUGGGUCUCUGCAUCUCCUGCAUUGGCGGGUGGAUUCUUCAUCACUAGCUCCACCUGGGAAGCCCAAUUUGACCCUUGACUACCUCUUAAACCUUGUCUUGACUUCUUGUCUUUGUACUCCCUACAUCUGUGUUGUCUAGUACAGUAACAUCUAUCACAUAGCUACUGAGAACUUGGAAUGUGGCCAGUUCAAAUGGACAGUAUGAAAAAAAAGUAAUGUAUCUCACUAAUUUUUAUCUUGUUUAAUAGACUGAAAUGAAAGUAUCUUGGAUAAAUAAAACAUUUUUGGUUAAAUAAAAUAAAACCCAUCUGUCUCUUUUCUUUUAAUUAACAUUUUUAUUUUGAAAUAAGUCUGCAGUUGUAAGAAGAAAUACAGAGGCAUCUUGUGUUCCCUUUAUUCACUUUUCCCCUAUGGUGUUAAAGUUUAAGGUGUGCAACACUUUCAUUUCAUACAUUUAUAUACUGCAGUAUGCUUUCCACCAUAGCAUUAGUUAACACUAGCCAAUGUGUUCCAUAAUUACCAUUUCAAUGUUUUGUGGGGAGAACAUUGAAGAUCUAGCUUCUUAGCAGCUUUGAAGUGUAUAAUACAGAGGUAGUUACUAUAAUCAUUCUGUUUUACACUUGGGGACACAGUCUAAGAGAUUAAAUUAAUGGUUCAAAGUUAGAGUGUUGAUAAUUAUGAAAGCGAGGAUAUGAUUCUGUGUAAUGUGAAGGUUCAAACCUUCACCAGUGAUGCAGCUGCCUCUUAUUUCAAUAAUUUAAGUUGGUCAUUUGAGUAAAUCAUGGAAAAGGUGAUGCUCCCUUUGUUUUAUUUUUCAACAUAUUUCAUUCACAUAUAGUCUGGUAAAACAAAAGCAGGUUCUCUUUCUUCUAUGCCUUUACAUUUAUUGUGUUCCCAUUGCUCUAUAAAUAAUAUUAAAAAAUAACAAUGCAUCCUUGCCCAACGUUACUAAAACUUCUAGCUUCUUGAUUUUAUAUUGCAGCCCAAAGACUUUGACAUCAUAAAUAUCUAUAUGUGGACAAUAUUGAAUUUUCAUCAUCAGGAUCAUAACGAAGGCAGAGAGCUAAAGAAUUGAUUCUUUCUAACUAUGGUGCCAGUCCCAUCACUUUAUGGGGAAACAGUGACUGACUUUUUCUGGGCUCCAAAAUCACUGCAGAUGGUGACUGCAACCAUGAAAUUAAAGACGCUUACUCCUUGGAAGAAAAGUUAUGACCAACCUAGACAGCAUAUUAAAAAGCAGAGACAUUACUUUGCCAACAAAGGUCCAUCUAGUCAAGGCUAUGGUUUUUCCACUGGUCAUGUAUGGAUGUCAGAGUUGGACCAUAAAGAAAGCUGAGCACAAAAGAAUUGAUGCUUCUGAACUGUGGUGUUGGGGAAGACUCUUGAAAGCCCCUUGGACUGCAAGGAGAUCCAACCAGUCCAUCCUAAAGGAGAUCAGUCCUGGGUGUUCAUUGGAAGGACUGAUGCUGAAGCUGAAGCUCCAAUACUUUGGCCACCUGAUGCGAAGAGCUGACUCAUUUGAAAAGAC